GAUGAACGCUGGCGGCGUGCCUAAUACAUGCAAGUCGAACGCGCAGCGAGAGGUGCUUGCACCUUUCAAGCGAGAUGCGAACGGGUGAGUAACACGUGGAUCACCUGCCACAAGGUUGGGGAUAACAUUUGGAAACAGAUGCUAAUACCGAAUAAAACUUAGUAUAGCAUGAUAUAAAGUUAAAAGGCGAUAAGGCGUCCGCUAGCGAAGGAUCCGAGGUGCAUUAGUUAGUUGAUGGGGUAAAGGCUUACCAAGAAAAUGAUGCAUAGCCGAGUUGGGAGACUGAUCGGCCACAGUGGGACUGAGACACGGCCCAAACUCCUACUGGAGGCUGCAGUAGGGAAUCUUCCAAAAUGGGCGAAAGCCUGAUGGAGCAACGCCGCGUGUGUGAUGAAGGCUUUCGGGUCGUAAAGCACUGUUGUAUGGGAAGAAAUGCUAAAAUAGGGAAUGAUUUUAGUAUGACGGUACCAUACCAGAAAGGGACGGCUAAAUACGUACCAGCAGCCGCGGUAACAC
rnacentral:rRNA from 1 species